CUUCAGUGAUGAUACGAUGACGAGUCGGAAUGGACACGGUUUGUCUCUGCGGUCACUGGGUCAGGGACACGUUCUGUGUCUCUGGGUUCAGUUCUUCAGUUGAAGACAUCGAGGCAUUUGUCUGAGAAGG
rnacentral:snoRNA from 13 species